rnacentral:lncRNA from 1 species
UUUAAUUAUUGCACAGUUUAAAAUUUUAAUAUUUAGUGUUACAUGCACUUUUCAUAAGACAUACUUUCUAAAAAUUCUCUUUUUUUGGUCUUAAUUUUUCCAAAGAACAGUAAAGUUAAUUUUCAGAAUUGAAAACACAAACUGAUUGGAAUUUGAGUUAGAAAUGUGAUAAAAUACAAAUCAAUUCAGUAAUUUUCUACUUUAAAGAUAUUCCAAUUUUCGCAUCAGGAUUGGGGUCAGUAUCCCCAUCAGGAUCACUCUACUGACUUGAGUUCUAUAUUUUUCCAGUAAAUCAUCAUAUUUUCAUGAUACAUGUCCUAUCUUUUUCUAUUAGUUUAACUCUAGAGAUUUUAUAUUCUUUAGGAAGUCUCAUGCAUGUGACCUGCCUCAAAUAACUAAUCACUGGUUCCAGCAAGGGCUCACAGCCCUGUGAACAAGCCUCCCCAAGACUGAGUUCUCCAAGGGGCAUGAUCGCUGGUUCUCUCCAUUCUAUGCACCAGAAUCUGACUCUAAGGAUGAGAGAGCGUGCACCAUUUCAGACAGCUACAUGCAACUAUGCCCAAAACUCUUUAACUUGAAAAUACUGUCUGAACUCUCUGCUUUAAGGAUUGUUAUAUGCAACGUAUUCUGUGUAUGUAAAUGCAAUAAUCCUUUUUGGAGGUACAUUGUUUUAGCUGUCUCCAACGCCCCUCUCAGAGUCAGUGCCACUUGCCAGAAUCAACUCAUAAAGGAGAAACCGCUGAAGACAAUGCAAAGAUAGCACGAGACAUAACAGAACAUGAAAGCGUGGGGCUAAUUUUAUGCAUCAACCUGACUUGGCCACACGGUGUCCAGACAUCAGCUAAAUGUUAUUUUGGAUGUGUCUCUCGGGGCAUUCCAGAUAAGAUUAGCAUCUGAAUCAGUGGACGGUCCCAUAAAGCAGACUGGUCUCCCCAGCGUGGGGGGCCUCACCCAACCUGCUGAGGACCUGAACAGAACAGAAGGUGGAGGAUGGAGAACUGUGCCUGACUCGGGAGCUGAGACAUCAGUCUUCUCCUGCCCUCGCACUGGAAUUUACACUCUGGUCCUCCUUCAGACUUGGGCUAGAGCUCACAACACAGGCUCUCCUGGGUCCCAGGCCUUCUGACUCAGACCAAAAAUACACCACUGGCCUUGCUGGGUCUCCAGCUGGGAGACAGCAGAUUGUGGGGCUCAGCCCCCAAAAUGGCAUAAGUCACUUCAUUAUAAAAAAAUCAUAAAUCUCUCUCUCUCUCCCCACACAUAUGCAUGUGUGUGUAUAUAUAUAUAUAUAUAUAUAUAUAUAUAAAAUUGGUUCUCUGGAGAACCCUAAUAUAAAAAAUAGAGUUUAUAAAGAAUUAAUAAUGACUAUAAUUAAUGGUAACAGUUAAUAUGGGACUUUUAUCUUCAAAGUCAUUUCACAAAAUCAUUAUAUCCGAAGGAUAACUUGAUUCAUAAAACAAAAUCUUUCAGUGAAAUAAGCUUUAAUACACCCUCAGAUAUCUAAUAUAUCUACUGAGGGAUGAUUUUCUGGCAGACUGUCCUUCUGGUAAUUCAAAUACUUCUCUCCGGUUGUGGCUUAAACUUGUGUCUGCUUAACAGUUCCUAACGGUUUCUCCCAACUCUAAGUUAAUAAUGAAGAGUUAGAGAAAAACAAAAAUCACCAUGAACAAUUGAAUUGACCGGACUUUCAGGUUAAGAUGGUUGAAUAAAGGUAUUUAAGCCCUUUUCUAAAAAGAAAAUAGAAUCACCCUGAAACAAUGUAAGGUGACCAACCGUGCUGGUUUUCCCGGGACUCAGGCUUCCCAGGACGCUGAACUUUCAGCUGCCGAGUCUGGGACAGUCAAGCAAACCGACACGGCUGAUCGCCCCAGAAAAAGAACAAGAAAAACUCUGUCUCCAAUUGAGGUGAGAAACAGCUGCAGCGCUAACCCCACGAUGUGAUGGGAGGAAUUCCCACGAGGCGGCGGGUCAAACCCAGAGGACAGCAGCGGGGCCAGUGGAGCAGCAGGCCCAGCCUCCCAGCAGAACUCCAGAAAACGUCAGGAAUGAGGGACACCUGUGUGCUCAGGUGGAUGUGAGAAAGGGGCUGACAACAGGAAAGGGCAGAACAGCUGCGUGGGCCCCCCCCCCCCCCAUCACCAGACCCCUCCUAGUUACUCUGAGCCCACCUGCCUUCUCCUUCCAGCCACUGAACCACAACCACCUCUCUGAGCCCGGACCACCCUCGGGUGUGGGCCCCCUAACACCACUUGGCCUGGGCGGCAGAACACAGUUCUAGGCCCUGCCCGGGGCUUCUCUGGGGCCCAGGGAUGUGCGAUGCUGCGGGACCUUGCUGCCGCCCACACAUCCACAGCCCAAAGGCAGGAAGGGCAACACGGGGGGAGGGGCUGGGGACAAUUCUUCAAUCAACAAGAGGAAUGAAACAGGAGAUCAAUUCUCCCACCCUCUCCACACUGCCCCAUCGAUGGCCCUGAUCACAGUUCACACGCUUACUUGCCCUGGACCAGAGGGUGGUCCCGGGAGACCAAGUGGUCAUUCACUUGUCCCGGUGGGCAGAUCAAUAGUGCCCCCUCAUUUGGCCCUGCCCGCCCCAGCCCUUUCCUGUGCCCCUCCCUCCCGCUCCUGGGAUUGCUCUCCAGCAAAGUCCCAGACCUCGCACCCUCCUCCUCAGGCUCUGCUUUCUGGGCCACCCAGGCCCGCCCGCCACCCCCGGAGGCGGCGACAGGCUAUUUCCUGGAGAAAGCGAAUUGAGAGGGUCUGGAACCUGGAGCCUUGAAGAACUGGGACAGGACCCCACCUCCCACUCACUAAAGAGAAUGUGGAGCAAAAAGAAUACGGGACUAGGUCUGUUUUCCGGUGGAAACGUCUCGGGUCUAAAUAUGGCAGCAGCCUGGGGCCCCUGCAGAAGGUGGGGCCGGGCAGUGACUCUUCUUAAGCCAUACGUCAAAGUCGUCUCCUCCACUGUAACUCCUGGAGAAAGUUCUCUCAAACUUCCCCGACUUGAGUUUGUCUCUGUAGAAGUUUGGACGGAAAUGUGACAAAACCCUCGUUUGAGGGAAGCGAUUAAAGCUUGUCCUCACCGGUGGGCAGAGCGACUUGCCCUGUCUUCUCAUACUGACUGCGCUUCAUGGAUUUCUAAUCAGGCGCUGUCCAGAGUGAAAUUUCUUAUGUUCUGGCUUCUAAACAGUGAAAUACGAAUAAAUUCCAUAAUGUGUUUAAAAACAAAACAAACAGCGACAACAAGAAAAAUACCAGCAGGCAGGUCACGUGGAAGGGCCGGGAGGAGGAGAAAAGGGCCGCCCCGCCCCUACAGGAUCACCUGCUGGCCGGGCUGGCCGCCCCCACGCGGGACAGAACCGGGUCCGCCCGCCACGCCUGCGCAUCUCGGGGCGCAUCCUCUGGGCUGCGGACUCCGCGCCCCGAAGAGGGGUCCCGCUUCUGGCCGCCGCUGGUUGCUCACCCAUCAGGAGCCCCGGAGUCCGGAGCAGGAUUCCCACCCGAACCCCUGGGGCGUCCCCGUGGCCGCUGGACCAGAGCCCCGGACAGCCGGCACUGGCACUGGUCUACACUGGCCCAGACCGCCCACCUUCCACCUGCGCAGGAAGGUGUGGAAGGACGGGAGGGCCAGCAGCAGCCUCGGAGACACAUCAAGGCCUGGCGACCUCGAAUGGCAUCCCACGAGGGCGUGGACCGGGGUGGAGGGUGGGGAUUGGAGGAGAAUUAAUCAAUAAAGUUCAAGCCUUUUGAAAGGAAUAACAAUGACCGUUUCUCUCCCGUGUCCCACCUGGCGGAGUGAGUGAAGCAGCCUGCUGUCUCAGUCCAUGUUCUGGUUCAGCUCCUUCAUCCUGCACAGGAAAUGUCUGCAGGGCCAAGUCACUCCAGAACAUUUGGGGGCCGGUACCAUCACACUUAAAGGUAAACGUCCGCCAGCUCAGCUGCCCCCUUGCUAGAUUUGGCAGAACCCAGGAUCUCCUUGGUCCAAUCCGAUGGCUUCUCCUCCUGAACUGUCCCCCAACGCAACGGCUUCUGGGGCCUCAACAGGAAGCUGCCCCCGCCACGUUCCAGCCUCGCGCAGGAGGACAGAGACGCUGGGCUUUGUGCUGCCCGCCUCCUAUGCGCACGUCAGCCGUCAGACCCUCAAGCCCCGCAGAUGCAUUCCUCCCUGUCCCCCGACACUGAGCGGACUGUCCCCGGGAGACACGUUCGCUGCUGAGACGAGAGGGAAACCCUCCCCACCGUGCCCAGGCUGGCAGGGCGCUCAGCUGGAGCUCCGAAAACAAACCCGUGUCCGUCUCAGCAGGUGGUCCUUCUGUCUGUCUCUGCGGGAUGGUCCUCUACACACAUUUCCCCAGGAAAUUUAAUCAAAGACUGCAUUUGGAGGCAAGACUCGAACGUGAAUAAGUCUUCCUGGCAACACGCUUUUCUCUUCCUAGGAAUCGGUCAACACGGGCGUUUUGUGACGUUCAGGUGCUCUGAGAACUGAGGGAGCAGCCGUGUGCCUAGCAGGAUGCGACGACGAUUAACAGCAGCUAGAAGAUGCUGAUGAAGAAGAGCCUGGAGUCCUCACAUUCUUUUCUUUAGCCUCUUGAAAAAGCUAUAAAGGCAGCAUGAAGAGGAAGCUGUUAGUAGCCAGGAAAUUCGAGAGAAGAACGUUCUGAAAUAGGACUUCUCAGAGGAAAUGAUCACUAAUAGCCCUAAUUCAGGACAUUCCAGACAACAGUCCUAAGAUCAAAGCCGCUCCUCCGCUUCACACACCAGCGGCCGUCUCCUCGCUGCACUCGCCCAGCAGGCACCCUUCGCCAGAACCGGACAAGCUUCGGACUCAAAACACAUCCCUCUGGGAGAAGCCUGGAAAGGCUGAGGGAGGAGACUCUCUCUCCUGGCCUAAGUGUUUUUCAGCCCCUGGAAUGAUUUCCUGUUAUUUCAUUUUGAGCCUCCCUGAGUAUUUCUCACUUAUUCAGUACUCUUAAUCCCCCAGAAGCGUUUUAUUUUUUCUUCCUCCUUUGGUUUUUCUUUCCUUGUCAGAAAGAAAUCUCACUCCCACAGUUGUUUUCUUCUUCUCUGCUGGAGCAGAGAGUUCUAAAAUUACUUCAUUGUGCCAGGUGGUGAGGUCUUUUCAACCUUGAUGGAUGCUGUUCUCGAGCUUAAGCCGUUGUCAUAAAAUGCGUAGUUUACCAACUCUCUCCUCCUUUGUAAAGUUAACUUUAUUCUUAGGAUGCAGCUUUUAAAACUCUGUUCCAAGUUGAGUGUAGCUGCAAAGAGUCAGAUAAUGUUUGGGUGGUGGGGGGAAGGCUCAGCACCCUCGCACGAAACUGCAGGAGCCUUUCGAAUGCUACAAUAUCCGUAUGUGUUUAGAGAAAUAUAAUUGUUCACUGCAAAUGUCAAAGAAGGUUUAUUUACAAAGAAGGAUUAUGGUCACUAACUAGAUCAAAAUUAGGAGAGAAUGAUCAUAGGAACAAAUUAUACCCAAGGACAUUUACUCAUUCUUCUUAAACAGAGUAUAGCAAUUACCUUUUCUCAGACUCUCUCCUUGCAGAAUCUCACAGACAUUCAGGAUGGGCGGGCUUCAGCGGCCCUCAGAUAUAACCACAUCCCUGAAAAAUAAUCUCUCAGCCUAGUCCUAACCCCCUCUAGCAAUGGAAAACACCCUCUCCAAAGGCUGCCUUUCUCCUUGGAUUUUGGCUUUCCUGGAAUAACUCAGCGCCUUAAGUAUAAACACAUAGAGAAACCACUGCCCCCACGCAGGAAGCUGACUCCUCGUUGUCAAUACUCAGUACUCAUGCCGCUCUGGCCCAGCCACUCUGACCUGACCUUGAGACACAGCCAUGCCUCUCUCUCAUUUCCUUUGAAACUGUGAAAAGAGGAGAAAGUAUAUCAAGAGGAGUGACGUUUUACAGACAUGCCAUCACUUCUGCCAGAUUCCCUGUGACAUCAAUGAAACGAAGGCUUCACCCUGGGGUCAGACCUGUCGCACCUCCCUCUCCGUGGC